UGCUUAACACAUGCAAGUCGAACGGUGAAAGAGAGCUUGCUCUCUGGAUCAGUGGCGAACGGGUGAGUAACACGUGAGCAAUCUGCCCCUGACUCUGGGAUAAGCGCUGGAAACGGCGUCUAAUACCGGAUACGAGCUGCGAAGGCAUCUUCAGCAGCUGGAAAGAACUUCGGUCAGGGAUGAGCUCGCGGCCUAUCAGCUAGUUGGUGAGGUAACGGCUCACCAAGGCGUCGACGGGUAGCCGGCCUGAGAGGGUGACCGGCCACACUGGGACUGAGACACGGCCCAGACUCCUACGGGAGGCAGCAGUGGGGAAUAUUGCACAAUGGGCGAAAGCCUGAUGCAGCAACGCCGCGUGAGGGACGACGGCCUUCGGGUUGUAAACCUCUUUUAGCAGGGAAGAAGCGAAAGUGACGGUACCUGCAGAAAAAGCACCGGCUAACUACGUGCCAGCAGCCGCGGUAAUACGUAGGGUGCAAGCGUUAUCCGGAAUUAUUGGGCGUAAAGAGCUCGUAGGCGGUUUGUCGCGUCUGCUGUGAAAACCCGAGGCUCAACCUCGGGCCUGCAGUGGGUACGGGCAGACUAGAGUGCGGUAGGGGAGAUUGGAAUUCCUGGUGUAGCGGUGGAAUGCGCAGAUAUCAGGAGGAACACCGAUGGCGAAGGCAGAUCUCUGGGCCGUAACUGACGCUGAGGAGCGAAAGGGUGGGGAGCAAACAGGCUUAGAUACCCUGGUAGUCCACCCCGUAAACGUUGGGAACUAGUUGUGGGG
rnacentral:rRNA from 1 species